rnacentral:rRNA from 1 species
UACGUAGGGUGCGAGCGUUAUUCGGAAUUAUUGGGCGUAAAGGGCGCGUAGGCGGCUGUACAAGUCAAAGGUGAAAUCCCUCGGCUCAACUGAGGAACUGCCUUUGAAACUGUACGGCUUGAGGCCGGGAGGGGGUAGCGGAAUUCCCAAUGUAGCGGUGAAAUGCGUAGAUAUUGGGAGGAACACCAGUGGCGAAGGCGGCUACCUGGACCGGUUCUGACGCUGAGGCGCGAAAGCGUGGGUAGCAAACAGG